rnacentral:lncRNA from 1 species
GGGCUGCCCCAUAGCGUGCUGUGCUCCACAGCGACAUGUGGGCUGCCCCAUAGAGUGCCCCAUAGCGAUGUGUGGGACUGCCCCAUAGCGUGCUCUGCCCCAUAGCGACGUGUGGGGCUGCCCCAUAGAGCCCUGUGCCCCAUAGCGACGUGUGGGGCUGCCCCAUAGCGUGCCUGCCCUGUAGCAAUGUGUGGGGCUGCCCCAUAGAGCGCUCUGCCCCAUAGUGACAUGUGGGGCUGCCCAUAGAGUGCCCCAUAGAGCGCUGUGCCCCAUAACGAUGUGUGGGGCUGCCCCAUAGCGUGCUGUGCCCCAUAGCGACGUAUGGGGCUGCCCCAUAGAGCGCUGUGCCCCACAGCGCCCCACAACAUUCAAUGGAUCCCCAAAAUAAAGGCGUUUCUCCCUCUCAAA